CGCAUCUGUGCAUGCAGCAUAUCAAUAAGCGGAGGAAAAGAAACUAACAAGGAUUCCCCUAGUAACGGCGAGUGAAGCGGGAAGAGCUCAAAUUUGAAAUCUUAAAGGGUUUCCCUUUACGAAUUGUAGUUUAAAGAAGUGUUUUCUGUUGAGGUUUUGGUAAAAGUUCUUUGGAAUAGGACAUCAUAGAGGGUGAGAAUCCCGUAUUUGACCUUUACUUUCAACUUUGUGAUACACUUUCAAAGAGUCGGAUUGUUUGGGAAUGCAGUCCAAAAUGGGUGGUAAAUUUCAUCUAAAGCUAAAUAUUGGCGAGAGACCGAUAGCGAACAAGUACCGUGAGGGAAAGAUGAAAAGAACUUUGAAAAGAGAGUUAAACAGUACGUGAAAUUGUCAAAAGGGAAGCGUUUGACACCAGUGUUGUUUUUACUGAAAAUCAAUUAAAGAACUGUUUAUGCUAAGCUGUUUAGACUUUAUCAGCUAACUGGUUUAGUUUUGAGCUUUUCUUUAAUGCACUUUUCAGUUAACAAGUCAACAUCAAUUUCUUUUGCUGUAAAAAAGCUUGAGGAAGGUGGCUUGAGAUUCGUCUUAAGUGUUUAUAGCCUCUUGCCUAUGCAGUCGGAGAGAUUGAGGUCUGCAGCGUAGAUCCUUCGGGGCUAAAUGCAUUUGUGCUAAGUUAUAAGCAUUUUAUAGACAACUUGUUGACUAUGAUUUGUCUUGUAGCUUACUCGCUUAUGUUAUUUUACCUACGCUUAGGAUGUUGAACGCGCACAGAGUCUC
rnacentral:rRNA from 1 species